rnacentral:rRNA from 1 species
AUUGAACGCUGGCGGCAUGCCUUACACAUGCAAGUCGAACGGUAACGGGCCUUCGGGUGCCGACGAGUGGCGAACGGGUGAGUAAUGCAUCGGAACGUACCUUUCAGUGGGGGAUAACGUAGCGAAAGUUACGCUAAUACCGCAUAUUCUGUGAGCAGGAAAGCAGGGGAUCGCAAGACCUUGCGCUGAUUGAGCGGCCGAUGUCAGAUUAGCUAGUUGGUGAGGUAAAGGCUCACCAAGGCGACGAUCUGUAGCGGGUCUGAGAGGAUGAUCCGCCACACUGGAACUGAGACACGGUCCAGACUCCUACGGGAGGCAGCAGUGGGGAAUUUUGGACAAUGGGCGCAAGCCUGAUCCAGCCAUUCCGCGUGCAGGAUGAAGGCCU